AGUAGGGUCUGCUUGAUUCUCAGAAUGUGGCAGCUGCUGCCAGAAGCUUCCUCUGGGCCAUUGGCUCCCGAGUACAAGAGCACCUUCUCUUGGGAUGUUUCCCUUAGGCUGCUGUUGAAAGAAAGUGCUGGUCAAACAUAAUGGCCCCUGGUACCGGCCACACAAAACUCUCCUUCAACAUCAGUGCUCCACUCACCAACAUGCUCCCUGCAGUUGUCUGUGGAAGGGUCAAACAAUAAAGCGCCAGUGAGUCUAAGGGGAAAUCUUUGGCACUUCUCUUCUAUCCUCUGGAUUUCACUUUCGCGUGUUCUGUGAAACUUGCAUUUCAUGACCGUGCAAAUGCAUUUCGCAAUGUGACUUUCAUUUUGCAACCACGGGUUUCAGCGAAGUCCCACGUCGGCCAUCUUGCCUAGAUAAACACACCAAGACACAGCGUGAUUGGGGCGCUUUGUCGGACUUAAUGCAACAAAUUUCCUGAGAAUAGGGAAAGCUGUGAGAAUUGCAGUAGGAGGUCUUUUCAUAACUGCCCUAAAUGGAAUCAUCAAAGCAUUGGAGUGUCACUGUCCCCCCAGGGAGCUGAAGACAGAAGAGGUGCUCCACUUGGGAAAGGCAUUCCAGAAUGUGGAGCCCAGCGGAAAUCCAUUCAAACACUGGACACCGCAUUCUCCUACACCCCAGCCAAGCCGGGCAGCGUCUCAUACCAGGAGAAACCACUUGUCGGAAUCCAUUUUUCACACCUCAAGGUUUUGACUAUCACAAAUAAAGCUGCUAUGAACAUUCAUGUACAAGUUUUUGUGCAGACAUAAGGUCUCAUUUCGCUGGGA